rnacentral:rRNA from 1 species
CAGCCGCCGCGGUAACACGUAGGUGGCAAGCGUUGUCCGGAAUUAUUGGGCGUAAAGGGCUCGCAGGCGGUUUCUUAAGUCUGAUGUGAAAGCCCCCGGCUCAACCGGGGAGGGUCAUUGGAAACUGGGAAGCUUGAGUGCAGAAGAGGAGAGUGGAAUUCCACGUGUAGCGGUGAAAUGCGUAGAGAUGUGGAGGAACACCAGUGGCGAAGGCGACUCUCUGGUCUGUAACUGACGCUGAGGAGCGAAAGCGUGGGGAGCGAACAGGAUUAGAUACCCCCGUAGUCCCUGUCUCUUAUAC